rnacentral:tRNA from 1 species
UCCCCGGUGGCUCAGAUGGUAAAGAAUCUGCCUGCAAUGCAGGAGACCCAGGUUCAAUCCCUGGGUCAGGAA